UCCCUGGAGGAGUAGUGGUUAGACCACAGCGCUCUCACUGCUGUGGCCCAGGUUCAAUUCCCAGCCAGGGAA
rnacentral:tRNA from 1 species